rnacentral:rRNA from 1 species
GACGAACGCUGGCGGCGUGCUUAACACAUGCAAGUCGAACGGUAAGGCCCUUCGGGGUACACGAGUGGCGAACGGGUGAGAAACACGUGGGUGAUCUGCCCUGCACUUCGGGAUAAGCCUGGGAAACUGGGUCUAAUACCGGAUAGGACCACUGCCUGCAUGGGUGGUGGUGGAAAGCUUUUGCGGUGUGGGAUGGGCCCGCGGCCUAUCAGCUUGUUGGUGGGGUGAUGGCCUACCAAGGCGACGUCGGGUAGCCGGCCUGAGAGGGUGACCGGCCACACUGGGACUGAGAUACGGCCCAGACUCCUACGGGAGGCAGCAGUGGGGAAUAUUGCACAAUGGGCGCAAGCCUGAUGCAGCGACGCCGCGUGAGGGAUGACGGCCUUCGGGUUGUAAACCUCUUUCAGCACCGACGAAGCGCAAGUGACGGUAGGUGCAGAAGAAGGACCGGCCAACUACGUGCCAGCAGCCGCAGUAA